rnacentral:misc_RNA from 1 species
ACGAGCAAGAGCUCUCUGUGAAAUAUCAACACCUGCUAUUUUCUCAAGAGAGGUUUGAUAAGCUAAUAAAGACUCCAGCAGACUUCCAGAACCACAUCCAAAAUCAACCAAAGAAGCAGCACAAGAUUCUCUAAUGUGCUGCACCGCAUAUUCAACACGUUGUUUUGAUAAUGGGGGAGAGAAUAAGGCCUGUUCCAUUCUAUCCUCCAGGGGUACUGUCACACGCAGCAAAGUGACUUCACAUUUCAUUAAGCAAGUACCUG